UACGUAGGGUGCAAGCGUUAAUCGGAAUUACUGGGCGUAAAGCGUGCGCAGGCGGUUUUCCAAGACAGAUGUGAAAUCCCCGGGCUCAACCUGGGAAUGGCAUUUGUGACUGGAAGGCUAGAGUGUGUCAGAGGGGGGUAGAAUUCCGACGUGUAGCAGUGAAAUGCGUAGAGAUGUGGAGGAAUACCGAUGGCGAAGGCAGCCCCCUGGGAUAACACUGACGCUCAUGCACGAAAGCGUGGGGAGCAACAGGA
rnacentral:rRNA from 1 species